GGGCUUGUGGUUUAGUGGUAUAAUACUCCCUUAGCACGUGACGAAGCACGCCGGCGAUCUAUACGAUGGUUGGUCUACCGAGCUGAGUCAAGCAACUGGGAGUGGUCCGGGGUUCGAUUCCCCGCGAGUCCA